AUUGAACGCUGGCGGCAUGCCUAACACAUGCAAGUCGAACGGGGGCAGCAAUGCCCUAGUGGCGGACGGGUGAGGAAUACGUAGGAACCGGCCCACGAGUGGGGGACAACCUGGGGAAACCCAGGCUAAUACCGCAUACGCUCGCGAGAGGAAAGCGGGGGGACCUUCGGGCCUCGCGCUGGUGGACGGGCCUACGUCCGAUUAGCUAGUUGGUGGGGUAAAAGCCUACCAAGGCGACGAUCGGUAGCUGGUCUGAGAGGAUGAUCAGCCACACUGGGACUGAGACACGGCCCAGACUCCUACGGGAGGCAGCAGUGGGGAAUAUUGGGACAAUGGGCGCAAGCCUGAUCCAGCAAUGCCGCGUGGGUGAAGAAGGCCUGCGGGUUGUAAAGCCCUUUAAGCGGGGAGGAAAGCCGGGGUGUGAAUAGCGCCUCGGGGUGACGUUACCCGCAGAAUAAGCACCGGCUAACUCCGUGCCAGCAGCCGCGGUAAU
rnacentral:rRNA from 1 species